GAAUGAUUUCUUAUCUGAAUAACAGUAUGUGAGAAAACAAGUGUUUCAAGUCUGUAUGGAGACAAACUAGUUUACCCUUUAAAGUGGACCCAACUCCUGAUCUAGCUGAGUGUGCAGAAUGUUUUCUGUUUUUUUAAACUGUCCUUGGUGCUGCACUUCAUCUCUACUCACCCAGUUGUAUAUGUCUCAGAAACUGCAAUGAUUUUCAUCUGACCUCAUUUGUGAAGCGAGGAGACACACAGUGAGGGUACCUGAGCCCCACACACAACAACCCGGGAAGCCCCACCCCUUCCAGUCAACGCCUAUAAGUGUGGAUGUCCUUGGAAGGCGGUUUCUCAGUUGGGCACUAGACCCACUGUAUGUUGGAUGUUCCUGACACAGACUUGCUCAAAAGAGCUCACUAUUAGGAAAUGCCAAGUUAGUCUACAAGGUGAAAUAACAUACAGUAACAAACAAUGAAGGGCUGAGUCCACAUGCAUCUGCAAAAGAAAAAAAAAGUUUAAAGGUUAUUGCCAUGCCAAAAAAGAAAGAAGUGCUGGAUCUGGCCAACAACCUGGAGGGUGCCCAAGCCACUUGGAAACAGAAGGGCUAUUGUAAUUUGGCACCGACUUCGACCCAACCAUUACUUCCCCACAUGAUGGCCAAUCGUCAAAGCAAUGGGUCUCAGCCUUUGCCUGCAACUCAUCCUCACCUCUCCUCAGAGCAAUGUCUGCUGCUACGAGGAACAUUCUAACCCGACCACUGAUCUUGCCCCACCGCUGCUUGUUUUCUGUGUCUGUGUGUAUUGAAGUGGUAGCCCCCAUUUAAAUACAUACCCUGACUGUUCCUGUUUUGAUUGAAGCCUUUGGAUUGAGCAUCUUCUCUGAGGUGCAAGACAUCAUGCAGUGCAUGUGUUUCAUGCAGUGCUUAGAUAUGUAACUACAUGCUCCUGGAUCACUUUCUUGAAUUAGUAUUAUAAGAAAACAAUAUGUUAAAUAAUCAGUUAAACAGUUCAAAAAUAUCUCUACCAACAUUUCAGUACAAGUAAUUUCUCUGGAGCUUUAGCACUAUCUCAGAGGCUCACAAAAGCUGGUUCUAUUAUAUUUCUAAUUAGAAGGUGAGUCUCCUGAGAGGCAAAGAAAAAUAAUCUCAGAUGCAUCUCUGUAUCUUACCCUAAAUAUUUAAGACAUUUUGUUCUGUUAAAAUACAUUGUAUUCCUGGAUGAAACAUUUUGUUAA